rnacentral:rRNA from 1 species
AUAAACGCUGGCGGCAUGCCUAAUACAUGCAAGUCGAACGAAGAUUGUAGCAAUACGGUCUUAGUGGCGAAUGGGUGAGUAACGCGUUGGUGACCUGCCCUGAAGUGAGGAAUAACAGUUCGAAAGGAUUGCUAAUACCCCAUGUGGUCAUAGAGAUUAGAUGCUUUAUGUCUAAAGGAGUAAUCCGCUUCAGGAGGGACCUGCGUCCCAUCAGCUAGUUGGUGAGGUAACGGCUCACCAAGGCUACGACGGGUAGGGGGCCUGAGAGGGUGGUCCCCCACACUGGCACUGAAACACGGGCCAGACACCUACGGGUGGCAGCAGUAGGGAAUAUUGCACAAUGGGCGAAAGCCUGAUGCAGCAAUGCCGCGUGCGCGAUGAAGGCCUUCGGGUCGUAAAGCGCUUUUUGAGGAGAUGAGGAAGGACAGUAUCCUCAGAAUAAGGAUCGGCUAACUACGU